GAGAUAACAGAGUUAAAGGAGUUAAAUGUGAAACAAAAUGAAGAAAUGUGUUUGAUGAAACAAGAGGUAUCAUGGAUGAGACAAGUCAUGUACAAAAUUGCUCCUAAUGAUUUAUGCCUCAUAAUGUCAAUGGAAUGCGAACUGAACAGGUCCCUGAUGCUAACAGUGGUCAUCAACCAGUACCACAAGCACGUCGGAUGUCUACUACUGCUGAAAAUGCUUCAUCUUCUCCUGGAUUUGAGGCAGGUGGAUCUGGACAUCAUUCUGGUGCGCAU